AUGGACGCCUUAAAACAAGAAGCAGACGAAAGAAGCAAAAUGUCUUCUACUCUUAAAUUUGAUAACCGUCACGAAGCUGGACUUUUACCUAUGCGUCAGAACGAAAGAAAAUCAUUUAAAAUGUCAAAAAUCAAAACGCUACGUAAGACAUCGAAAAAUGCUAUGGAACAUUCCCGUUUUAUCAACUACACAUGUCAUCGUAGAAAUGGCUUAUCCCACAAAGAAAAUGGUCGUAAACAUUGUUUCUCAGCUUUGAAAACGCAACAAGCUGUCGUGCUACCCGUUGCUAGCAAAGACAUCGAAUGUUCAACCAAACUUUUCCCACAUUUUAUACAUGUCUGCAGCCUGACCACAGACUUCCUAGAUCGGGCUGCUAAAGUCAUCAAAAUCCCACAUCAUCGAUUUUCCUCUGAAAGGAUGAAGGUUCAUUUUGAAGUUCAUCAGUUAGAUACCUUAACUACACGGCCCAAGUUACACGGCCUAGGUAUAACAUCCACUCCAACAAUAUAUGUCUGUAAAACAGAAGAAAUCAACAAAAGAAAUGGAGUCCUUUUUAUUGGAGAAGAGACAUUCAAGAAAACGAAGAACAUGUUAAGCGUAAGCAAUUUGGACACUCUUUCAAUACGAUCUGCAAUAACGGACCCAGAAGUUAGAGAAAUCCACGAGGCCUUGACAGAACUGUUAGAGACUCCAGUCUGGGAACUUCUUGAUGAAAUAAAACAAAACAUGCAGAUGUCAGAUGCAUUUCAUCCAAUGGACAUGCUUUCCAUGGAAUUGGAUGUUCUGCUGAAUACAGUUAAACAUGUUGCUUCCAAUGAUAUGAUAAACGAUGGUGCUCCAGAAAGACAAUCCUAUUCGGAUAUUCCUGAAGAAAUUAAAGAUUAUUUGCUAAGAAAACGAGAAAUCAAUGGAUUUGGUUUAUGGGGCAAAAACGAGUUCCGAGUUUUUGUAAAUCACGAAAACAAAAGAAGACAUCUACGAGAAAAUAUGCUCAGAAUUUUCACAGAUAUUUUUAAAACAAAAUUAAAUUUACAUAUAAUGGUUGGCAAACCAUGCAUUCACUUUUACUCUAAACAGGGAGAUAAGAUAUAUACGAGAAAUUCAUUAUCUGAAGAGUCAAAUGACGAAAAUAGUUACGGCACAUUAGGAGGUUUUGUUUCUGAUCAAAACAAUGACACAUUUGUUUUAACUUGCUCACACGUCUGCCAGAAAGGAGAUAUUAUCUUUGCUGAUGACAACGAUCACGGAAGAGUAAGAAUCGGAGAAUGUGUUUUUUCAAAUGACCUUCAAACGACAAAUAUCAAUGAGUUCAUUGAUGUUGCUCUUGUAAAGAUAGAUAAUGAUGCCUUGAAAAGGUGCAAUCUAUCAAUGCUUAAUGAUAUUUUUCAACAAUCAAACGUCAAGAUUUACUUAGAAAACUUGCAACAGAUUGCUAGCAAAUAUUAUGUUUACAAGAUUGGGGCAUCGACAUCAGUGACCAAGGGGUUAUUUACAUCCCCAGAAGUCCACCUUAAAAUAACUGGAGGAAGAGCUGAACUUUUUUUGUUUCCGAUAUUGCUGAUAUUCCAUUUGCCGAAAAAGGUGACAGUGGAUCUAUUGUUUUCACGAUCGAAAAUAGCUCUGCGCUUGAUACUGUACACGUUAUCGGAAUGGUUUCUGGUGCGUUCACACCGCAUCAACCAUCUGGAGAAGAUGAGAAGAUAGAUAAAAACAGGAAGACUGAGAAGAAAGACGAUGAGGGAGCCAAAAAGGACGUUAGCUGUACUGGGGAUAUUACCUGCUUUAGAAUGGACAAGACUAUGGAAUUUUUAAGGAAGAAAGGCACUGACGUUUCCUUCAAAAAUCAAAAGUCAUAAAGGGGAAUAGAAGUCUUAUAAUGAUGAUGUUUUCUUCAACACGGACCAGACUGAGUGAUUUCUAAAAAAAGAAUGUUGGAAUGUUCUUUUUGCAAAUCAAAUCUCAAAAGAUUAAGCUUGAAAAAAGACAUAUCAAAAACAUUUGAAAAAACCAUAAUGAUAAAAUAAACAUCAUUUGUUGAUAACAAACGUUAAAAUGUCAACUGAUAUCAUUACCUUUCUUGAUUGUUUAUAUACCGGUAUUAUUUGUUGCAAAUAAGGAAAAUAAGUUUUUAUUUUUCAUAUCUGGAGAAUGGCAUGUAAAAAGUUCAGUCUUGGGGUUUUUUGUGAGAAAAACAAAUGUUAUAGUAUAUCUCUUCAAUGUUUUUAUAUGUCUUAUAUUUUGGGGUGACAGCGCAAUCAGUAUCAGCGAAAACAAACAUUUAUUUUCUUUAGUUUAUCGUUAAAUUAAAGAAACAAAAAGAUUUAGUUGAUGUUUGUUCACCAUUGAAAAUUUAUAUAUAAUUGUCAUAUGAUCUGGCUCCAGGAUCAUGAAACAAUCCUAGAGUUAAGUCAAAAAAAUUACACUUUCUGAAUCUCUUUUAAUUGAAAAUACUGAC
rnacentral:sRNA from 1 species